GACGAACGCUGGCGGCGUGCUUAACACAUGCAAGUCGAACGGAAAGGCCCUGCUUGCAGGGUACUCGAGUGGCGAACGGGUGAGUAACACGUGGGUGAUCUGCCCUGCACUUCGGGAUAAGCCUGGGAAACUGGGUCUAAUACCGGAUAGGAGCCAUUUUUAGUGUGAUGGUUGGAAAGUUUUUUCGGUGUAGGAUGAGCUCGCGGCCUAUCAGCUUGUUGGUGGGGUAAUGGCCUACCAAGGCGGCGACGGGUAGCCGGCCUGAGAGUGUGGACGGCCACAUUGGGACUGAGAUACGGCCCAGACUCCUACGGGAGGCAGCAGUGGGGAAUAUUGCACAAUGGGCGCAAGCCUGAUGCAGCGACGCCGCGUGGGGGAUGACGGCCUUCGGGUUGUAAACUCCUUUCGCUAGGGACGAAGCUUUUGUGACGGUACCUAGAUAAGAAGCACCGGCUAACUACGUG
rnacentral:rRNA from 1 species